ensembl:miRNA Mir6368 microRNA 6368
GAGGAAUGUCCAGCACGUCUUCACUCUGUUAUUUCCUAGACAGGGCAUGAACCUCCUCUGGGAAGCGGUGGAGGGGAGCAACUGGCAGCUCCU